GAACGCAGCGAAAUGCGAUAAGUAAUGUGAAUUGCAGAAUUCCGUGAAUCAUUGAAUCUUUGAACGCAUAUUGCGCCCUUUGGUAGUCCAAAGGGCAUGCCUGUCCGAGCGUCAUCGCCGAUUUUUCCCGGGCCCCCGGAUGGCCUGGGGCGGUUGGGUCGUCGUCCGGGGGGAGGUUCUCCCUGGAUGGGCCCCAAAGGCAAUGACGGUGCCGCGGUUCGGCCCUGGAGCGCAAUCGGAUUUUGGCUCUAGAGGGGCCGGAUCGGGCCACCUGUCUCCCCUGGCGUCCCGAGACGCCUCGUCCGUCCUGUUGACCUCGGAUCAGGCAGGGAUACCCGCUGAACUUAAGCAUAUCAAUAAGCGGAGGAAAAGAAACCAACUGGGAUUGCCUCAGUAACGGCGAGUGAAGCGGCAAGAGCUCAAAUUUGAAAUCUGGCCUCCCAACCGGGGGGUCCGAGUUGUAAUUUGAAGAGGAUGCUUCGGGCUGGAUCUCGAUCUAAGUGCCCUGGAACGGGUCGUCGGAGAGGGUGAGAAUCCCGUCUGGGAUCGGAGAUCGAGCCUCGGUGAAGCUCC
rnacentral:rRNA from 1 species